rnacentral:lncRNA from 1 species
GGUAUCCCAAAAUACAUUCAUUAAACCUUCAAGUGUUAAAAUCAGCAAUAUACAUUAAUAAUAAAAAGAGCUUUUGCUCCUGCAAAUUACAAAAAUAUACAUUGAAAGAAAUAUAAAAUCAGACGUUUUUGUUCAGACAUAUACAUUAAACUUUAAAUAUUUAGGGCAUCCCUAAAUGCAUACAAAAACUUAAAAGAAAAAAAAUCUUAAAAUCAACAAACGUAAUCUUCAUGCUCCUGCAAAUUUCAUAAUCUUUAUGCUCUUGAAAACCCCCCAUCCCCAAGAACCCCAUUUCAUUUUAUCUCUCUAACAGAGAAAACCCCCAUCCCCAAUUUUGGGCUUUUUCUCAACUGAAAACGUACGUCUUCCAAACUCACAAAGCAUCUGCUCCAUCCCCAAAUUUGAGCUUUUUCCCAACUAAAAACCUAGGUCUUCCAAAGCAUCUGUUCCAUCCCCAAUUUUGAGCUUUUUCCACACUGAAAACUUAGGUCUUCCAAAGCAUCUGCUCCAUCCCCAAUUUUGAGCUUUUUCCCAACUGGAAAUACAGGUCUUCUAAGCUCACAAAUCAUUUUGAAGAAGCGUACCCUGUUUCAUUGGGAGAUAUCGACUUUACCAAGGGAUAGGCUUCGGUUCUCAUCCCUUGAAUUCUUUGUUCUCACCCCGAGUUCUGCAGUUGCAGAUGCAUCUUUUUAAUGGAUAUAACUAUUCCCUUCAUUCUUUCAUCUGCUCUUCUCCCUCAUUUCGUCC